GAUGAAGAACGUAGCGAAAUGCGAUACUUGGUGUGAAUUGCAGAAUCCCGUGAACCAUCGAGUCUUUGAACGCAAGUUGCGCCCGAAGCCAUUAGGCCGAGGGCACGCCUGCCUGGGCGUCACACGUCGUUGCCCCCCCAUCUACUCCUUCGGGAUUGCGGGGGGCGGAUGAUGGCCUCCCGUGCGCCUCGUCGCGCGGUUGGCAUAAAUGCCAAGUCCUCAGCGACGCACGCCACGACAAUCGGUGGUUGCGAAACCUCGGUUGCCCGUCGUGUGCGGUCGUCGCGCAUCGAGGGCUCGAAAAAAUUGCCGGGCUCCGGCUCGGCUUUCAACGCGACCCCAGGUCAGGCGGGGUUACCCGCUGAAUUUAAGCAUAUCAAUAAGCGGAGGA
rnacentral:misc_RNA from 1 species